CUCUGGUGUGCAUGAUGCAGAAGAUGAGGGCUCAGGAAACUUUCUCGCUGCACUUGGCAAUCACUUGUGCAAGGACCAGAGUGGUAUACAGGCAAGCCGCAUAGAGACCCCGUCUGAAGCCACACGCAUGUAGAAGAUGCUCCCUUGCUUACCCACAAGAGUGAGAUAUCAGCUACAAUGGCCCCCGCCUGUGGAAAUUGGGGACCGAAUUUUCAGUAUUGUCUCUAGUCAACCACAGCAAUCCUCUUAAAAAAGACACCUAAAGCCUUUGCCCCAUCUUGAAUGCCCAACUGCCCCGGGCCAAACUCACCGUGUUUCGAGUGUUCCCUGAGAUGUGUGCUUGCCAAGGGACAGUGAGAAAGUGACUGGUGUGGCCUUCAGGGGAACCCCCUGCACACUGACGGUGCACUUCUACCAGAUAAGGAAGUGACCAAGGUGAAGCAAGGAGGAUAUGUUCCAAGAGGUGCCCUAAUCCUCAGAGUCUGAGGAAAGAAAACACAGGGAGUGGAGAGACACCUUGAACGAAAAAUUUAAGAUAGAAAGGCAGGAUAGAAAAGAGAGUGAGAAGCGCAUUGUAAAGGGUCAGGACCAGGUGAUAAAAGUGAUGGAGGAGCAAACAGAAAGGUUCAAGUCUCUAAUCAUGCUGCAGACAGAGCACAUGCAUGCUCACACCCA